UACCAUCUACACAGACUCACAGACGCUCUGUGGAAGCAUGGGAAGCUUUGAAGUCUGAUUGCAAACCUAUCUUACAUCAUGAUAAGGUUCUGCUUUGCUGGACGCUGUCCUGCUGCCUACAGCUAAUGCUGUUUGUAACUGUCCAACAUCAGUGACGACUUUGUUUCUGCCGACAUGCAGCUGCAGACGCUGCUGCGAAGGUCGCUGCCCAACAACCCCUCCCUCUCCUGAUCCUCGUUUCCUCUCCUGAUCCUUGUUCCCUCUCCAACUCUCUCUAUCCUUUCCUUCCUCAUCUCCCUGUGCUUUAAACAUUUUGUACCUCACAGGAACGCAGACUCUGGCUGACGAAUGGUUCCACCUGUAGCCAUGGAGUCUGGUUUGGGCCUGAUGGAAGCAGUGCCGCCCAAACACCUUUUUCCCCACAAUUCAGAUUUCCCAACAGGUGAAAACAGGCGACAGGACCACUACACCAUCCAACCAGGGCACGGGUGAUCGUUAAGGAGUUCAGGAGGAAGCACUGGGACUCCAAACGGUGGCGAGGCCCCUUCCAGGUCCUUCUGACGACCCACACGGCUGAAAGAUCGCAGUGAGAGUGACUUGGAUCCACUCCAUCCACUGCAGGAAGGUCCCAGAUCCAACAGACGACCCUCCAUCUACAUCUACGCCACACGAGAAAGCCACCACUGACGAAAAGAACUGAGAAGGACGACCCUCGCUGUGCUCACACACGCACUGAGGCGAGGCUGUGUUGACCGUUCAGCUAAAGGUGUGAGCCAAGCGCCGCCUGAAGCUGCGCCGGUGAAUCACACUAUCAGACCAACAUCUACACACACGCUCCUGAGAAAACACACACACGAGCAGCCUUGAGUUGCCGACGCUGGACGACGUGUAGACUCUUCACAUCACGGGAGUGACAGUGACUCAGACGACAUUGGGAGGAAACCUGGCGGUGAUAACGAACCCCAAGUGUCUCUGUGAUCAGCUGAUCACAACCGAAGAACCCCAACGAACUGUCAAUACUUCAACACACAGAUGAAAGACAACAGAAGCGGAAAUAUGCAUCAUCAUUCUGGUUAAAUCCCUGAAUCUCCUAUUCGCUCUAGACGCAAAUGUACAAUUAAAGAUCCGAAAGCAUGAAAUCUAUCUUAAGAUUAUAUGAUACAGAACCCCACCGGAAACCUAUGGCUAUCAUACAUUAAUUAUCUUUAUUACAUUACAAUUGAAUGGCCGUAGACACGUUGUUAGCAGAGAAAAAAGGCGGUUGUGUUAUGUUUGGAGACGCAUGUUGUACUUACAUCCUGAAUAACACUGAUUCCAAUGGUAUUGUGGCGAAGGCGCUCCACGGCCUUCAGAAUCUCAGCUAACUCUGGUAUAGGUUCUUCCUCUUGGAAAUUGGCUAGACGAAAUGUCUGGAAAAUGGAAAUCUGUUCUCAUGUCCACAGCUGUUUCCUUUAUAAUUGAGAUGGCUGUGAUUCUCUUGUUUGGUUUUUGCGUUAUCCCACUGGUUAGAGGUCUCAUCAUGCGUGCGACCUCAGCAACACUCUCGUAUGAGAUGACACAAUGCACUAUGUUCCAAAACCCCAACUCUAAUUUACUUAAUGACUUUGACGAUGAUCUUAGGCUAUCUGAUCACAAAAUAUAAUCUGAUACAAAUAUGAUUAUUGACUUAUUUUCUUCACAUGCUCAUACAGAGGUUAUUCUUGUUUAACUACCCACCAAAAACAGCUCCCAACCUUUUGUCCCUUAGUUACUUCCAUUUUAUGUGAAGGUGUAUUUUGAAUCUUGAUGAGUUAAUACCCUUAUUGUUUCAUUUGCAAGGAUCUUUUAUUAUUACAGAAUGUGAUGUUGACAAUUUUUCUUCUUAGUGGUUGAUUAAUGUGUAAUCAAAAGGGGGGAGUGUUAUGGCAAAAAUUGUCUCUUCCUUAUUUCUAUGUCUCUUCCUUAUUUCUAUGCAGUUAUUAUACGAGUUAUGACUUAUGUUCUGCAAUUAAUAUCUUAUGUUUUGUCUUACUGUAUGCAUUUGACAUUUCACCUAGAUUGUUCAAUGGUUGUCUC